CACGGAGUUAGCCGAUGCUUUUUCUUCGGAUACACGCAGUCCGGGACACGUCCCGGGUUUUGUUCUCCGACAAAAGAGGUUUACAACCCAUAGGGCCGUCUUCCCUCACGCGGCUUGGCUGGUUCAGGAUCUCUCCCAUUGACCAAUAUUCCUCACUGCUGCCUCCCGUAGGAGUCUGGUCCGUGUCUCGGUACCAGUGUGGGGGACCUUCCUCUCAGAACCCCUACGCAUCGUCGCCACGGUGGGCCGUUACCCCGCCGUCAAGCUAAUGCGCCGCAUGCCCAUCCUCUUCCGAUGAAUCUUUCCUCGAUCUCGGAUGCCCGAAACCGAUAUACGCGGGAUUAGCCUCCCUUUCGGAAGGUUGUCCCCCUGAAGAGGGCAGGUUGCAUACGUGUUACUCACCCGUGCGCCGGUCGCCGGCAAGGAAGCAAGCUUCCCUCCCGAUGCCCCUCGACUUGCAUGUGUUAAGCCUGCCGCUAGCGUUCAUCCUGAGCCAGGAUCAAACUCU
rnacentral:rRNA from 1 species